ACGCUCGACACCUACGGGAAGCAGCAGUGAGGAAUAUUGGUCAAUGGGCGCAGGCCUGAACCAGCCAAGUAGCGUGAAGGAUGACUGCCCUAUGGGUUGUAAACUUCUUUUAUAUGGGAAUAAAGUUUUCCACGUGUGGAAUUUUGUAUGUACCAUAUGAAUAAGGAUCGGCUAACUCCGUGCCAGCAGCUGCGGUAAUCUGAGCGGGCUGGCAAGGC
rnacentral:rRNA from 1 species